rnacentral:rRNA from 1 species
AAUGGACGCUGGCGGCAGGCCUAACACAUGCAAGUCGAACGGAUCCUUCGGGAUUAGUGGCGGACGGGUGAGUAACGCGUGGGAACAUACCCAAAGGUACGGAAUAGCCUCGGGAAACUGGGAGUAAUACCGUAUGUGCUCGAAAGAGGAAAGAUUUAUCGCCUUUGGAUUGGCCCGCGUUGGAUUAGGUAGUUGGUGGGGUAAUGGCCUACCAAGCCGACGAUCCAUAGCUGGUUUGAGAGGAUGAUCAGCCACACUGGGACUGAGACACGGCCCAGACUCCUACGGGACGCACCAGUGGGGAAUCUUAGACAAUUGGGGAAACCCUGAUCUAGCCAUGCCGCGUGAUCGAUGAAGGCCUUAGGGUUGUAAAGAUCUUUCAGGUGGGAAGAUAAUGACUGUACCACCAGAAGAAGCCCCGGCUAACUCCGUGCCAGCCGCCGCUGUAA